ACAGAGGCAAACACAUACAGAGGGAAAAUGAUUUGAAGACAUUGGGAGAAGAGGACCCUCUACAAGCCAAUGAAUGCCUGCAACUACAGAACAUAGGCGAGAACCCUGGAAUGGAUUCUCCAUCAAAGUUCACAGAAGGAACCAACCUGCCAAUGCCUUGAUUUUGGACUUCUGGCCUCUAGAGCAGUGAGACAGUAGAUAAGCCACAAUGAGAAGACGGAUUGGGUCCAGUUUAAAUGAUAUAGAGUUAGGGUUAUUGAGAAGAUCAUUCUGAUUUUCUCAAGGCUGAUAAGAAGAGCAAGAAAAACAAUUUUGUGAAUGACGAGGCACAGGCCACGGAGCCUUUCCAACAUCUGUCGGAGUCUCCCACUUACUCGGGGCCAGAUGCUAAUGGUGUGUGUGCCUCUGCACGUGGAGGAAAGUUUCACUGAUACUAAUGAGCCAUUCACUGCCCUGCAUUCCAGGACUUCUCCCACACGGGCCGGUUCUCAGAUGUUCUGCGUUAAGUGAAACGCAGCACCAUUUCCAUAGCAACCAGAAGCAAGGGCUCCCAGAAGGCCUCACAUUCUAAUGCAGGCCGAGCUCUGGAAGACAUGCAGCGCACUGAUCCAUCUGAUAGCGAACCAUCAUUAUGGAGGGUGUCAUAUUGCCAGGCGCUGUGCGCUGCAUCAAAAACACAAUCCAAACACAGCCCUCAGAGGAACUAAUUCAGAGGUUGAGGCAGACAAGCGAAAAAUACGCAGUGUGAAAAAUGCUACACAGUCCAGGCACAGUCCUGUUUUGAGUCCAUAGGCUGGGAAUCUAACUAGGCUCUAGAGUCAUGAAAAAACAUUUUCUAAACAAGGUGACCUCUGAGACUCCAAGGGCAAGAUGGCAAGCCAGGCAGGAGGGCUCAGGGAGGGUGAGAGGGCUGCUGAUCCAGACAGAAGGUGGAUGCUCGGUAUCUCUAUGGCUGCCGAUGAGGCAGAUCUGAUUUAGAAGUUAUGACUUCGAAACUCCGCUGCACUCUCAACGGCGCUGUGUGACUUGAGGCUUUCGUAAAUCCCAGAACUCCCCUGGCCAGGAUGUCCCAAACUGUUUCGAAACCUCACCCUUCCCUCGGAACUGUGAGACCUGUGGGUUGAACUUCCAACUCUGAAGAAAAGGAGGGCUUACACUGUAACAUGAGCCCUGUCUUUCAA